UACGAAGGGAGCUAGCGUUGUUCGGAAUCACUGGGCGUAAAGCGCACGUAGGCGGAUGUGUCAGUCAGGGGUGAAAUCCCGGAGCUCAACUUCGGAACUGCCUUUGAUACAGCACGUCUUGAGUCCGAGAGAGGUGGGUGGAAUUCCUAGUGUAGAGGUGAAAUUCGUAGAUAUUAGGAAGAACACCAGUGGCGAAGGCGGCUCACUGGCCCGGUACUGACGCUGAGGCGCGAAAGCGUGGGGAGCAAACAGG
rnacentral:rRNA from 1 species